UACAGAGGUCCCAAGCGUUGUUCGGAUUCAUUGGGCGUAAAGGGUGCGUAGGCGGCGUUAUAAGUCGGAUGUGAAAUCUUGGGGCUCAACCCUGACACUGCAUUCGAUACUGUAGCGCUAGAGGACUCUAGAGGAAACUGGAAUUCACGGUGUAGCAGUGAAAUGCGUAGAUAUCGUGAGGAAGACCAGUGGCGAAGGCGGGGUUCUGGAGAGUGCCUGACGCUGAGGCACGAAGGCCAGGGGAGCAAACGGG
rnacentral:rRNA from 1 species